GUCUCUGGUGAGGAUUGAAAAUAAACUUUCGUUCUUCCGAUGCUACCAAUGAGGACAAGUGUUUGUGAUUGUCUGAGGAGGC